ACUGGUUGAAAACACAAGUUUAAUGAUACAACUUAAAGUAUUUUGUAAACUAUAAAAUGCCAUACAGUUUUAUCAACUGACUACAAACAGGAAAUAUGCAAAGUAGCACUAUGAACUAUACAUCCACCCCUUCACUCAGUAACCUUUAUUUAUGCUUACUGUAGGCCAGGCAUUGUUCUAGAAUCUGGACAUAAAUGGAUAAGGACAGGAGCCUUGUCUUGUAGGGUACAUAAGCAUGUAGACCAAUAAGUUCAGUGUGUAAGUGAGUUAUUCAAGUUUGUAUCGAGUACAUGGAAGGUCUGAGGAGAAAUGGCUUCACGGAGUUGAACAUGAACUCACUUUUGACGGGUGAGUAUGAUAGGUAAAGGAGAGGAUAUUCAGGCCAAAGGAACAGCAUAUUCAGCAUGGCUGCUUGGAAUGGCAUGUGAUCAAUGUGAGAGGACUGGAAGUUGCUUAAUAUUUUUGGAGGGUAGAGGGAGAGAGGAAGGUGGCAGUUAAGUUUGGAGAACUGCUUGGUGUUGCCCUCCUGCCACCUCCUGGCAGUUUCUGUUAUUGUAGGGAAGGAUUUUUCUAAUCUCCCUGGAAUUACCAUUUUCAUUCAGGGGCCCCUUUUCAGAUCUCAAUUGUGGUAGGAUUCAAAAAGACUUAGGUAGAAUCUUGGAAUACAACCAGCAAUACAGGAUAAUUCACAAAUACUGGAAUUGUUAAGGGCUUUUAAAAAUUGAAAAAUUCUAUUUAAAAUAUUUUUUCAUUAUUAUUUUUAAACAUUUUUAAAAAUGUUUAUUUAUUUUGGAGAGAGAAAGACACAGUGUGCGAGUGGGGGAGGGGCAAAGAGAGGAAGACACAGAAUCUGAAACAGGCUCCAGGCUCUAAGCUGUCAGCACAGAGCCUGACACGGGGCUUGAAGUCAUGAACCGUGAGAUCAUGACCUGAGCUGAAGUUGGAUGCUUAACUGACUGAGCCACCAAGGCACCCCAAUAUUUUUUUCAUUAUUAAACAAAAGUGAAAACUUAAAAAAAAUCUUGAUCACAUUCAAAAGAACUACUUAUCUGAUUGCAGUCCUCCCAUAUACAUCGAAGUUGACAGUGAUUACAGAGUGGCAGUUGUAUAAUUGAUAAAGGAAUAAAAUUACUUGAAAUAGCUUUCCAAAUAGCAGGAUUAUAUACCUGUUUAACAACUAGAGGUAAUAAGUAGAUUAUAUAAUAUUAGAAAACAUAGUGUUAGAAAGAAAAUAACACAGGUGAUUUUGUGACGUAUAACAGAACUAUAGGAAGUCCUUGGCAACCUAAUUUUAUCCACCCCCCAACAUUUCACUAUGCGAUUUCCAAGCAAACAUGAAUGUUUGACGAAGUUUAUAAUACCAAUAUACCCACAUCUAGGUUCUGCCAUUAGCAUUUUACUCUGUUUAUCACCUAUCUAUCCAUCUGUCUGUUCUCUGCAUCCAUCAAUUCUUGUUUCCUUUUGAGGCAUUUAAAGUUAAUUGCAGAUAGUCCACUUCCUCCUAUACUUUAGCAUGCUUACCGCCAACCAACCACAUUUAGCAUUAGUGGUGGUUUUUGAAGUCACAUUUAAUAUAAUUAAAUAUGCACAUGUUUAGUGUACAUUUGCUGAGCUUUGACAAAUGCAUACACCUGGGCACCCUAAGCCCUUCUUAAGAUAAAGACGAUAAAGAUUACUGGGGUGACUGGCUGCUCAGUCACGGGAGCAUGUAACUCUUGAUCUCAGGGUUGUAAAUUCGAACUGCACAUUGGGUGUGGUGCUUACUUAAAUCUUAAGACAAAAAAAAAAAAAAAGAA